rfam:Bacillus alcalophilus ATCC 27647 = CGMCC 1.3604 strain AV1934 contig00020, whole genome shotgun sequence.
CAAAGCAAGCAGAAGCGCCCGCUUCUCACCUGAUUGACGCUCAUUGAGCAGUUGCCAGGUAUGAUGGGAUUCAUGAUUAGUGAAUGUACAAGUGUGGGCGUCUAGCGCCUACACUUUUUUUAUUGC